ensembl:lncRNA
GGGUGCCCCGUGCCGGGAGCGACGCGCCGGCCGUCGGUGGCUCCUGCUCUCCGUGACGGUCAGUUGGUCGCGCUGCCGCUUUGUUCUGCGCUUAGCGAGGACGCGCCGGGCUCCGCGCUGCUCCCGCCGAGGGUGCCGUGGAGUCUGUCAGUAUUCUGCAGACGGCCUUUACGGCUCCUCCAUCAGGGACGUCAGAUCCCAAGGGCAGCGGUUGCAGGCUGACGGAGCGGAGUUCUGCGGGGGGCCUUGGGCCGAAGCUCCGUGUUCUGACGCAGCGCGGUUUCCCAGCCGCUCCCGUCCGUGCGUGCACAGCUUUGCCACUGUGGCACGCAGCACAGGCUGGGGGAGCGCUGUGUAGAAGCCUCUAAUUCUCGGCUUAGUCCUUCCCCACCCCUUUAAUGGUGAAUGGGCCGCUGCUAUGGAGACGCCAAGCUUAGCUCAAAAUGGCUAAUAAGGCGAAUUGGAAAGAGAAGCGUGGCCAGUGCGAUCGGGGGAAGGGAAGAGGCCCUUUUUGCCUGUGCCGUAUGAGAUGCAGCCAGCAGAGAGGGAAGGGCGGCAGCCACCCACGUACAGAGAACAAAGGAAACAUGGGGAUAAAGGCACUGCUCGGGGUGCAUCCUGAGGAUCAAAAAGGCCAGCGCUGCGGCUGAGCGCUUCAGGUCAUUUCACUGGGAAGAGUUUAAACAGGAUGUUUCCCAUGUGGGUAGUCCUACUUGCUGGAGAUUGGUUCACAAGUAAAUGAAUAUGGUUGCACUUGCUUGUUGACGUACCAUACCUUUCUAUGAGUCAGUAAAAUACCUUAAGAGCUCCUACAUUCACCACUGCUGGUAAUAUUUCACCUUAUUUUCUUGGAGGAAGCUUCCCCAUGGAGCAACUGUAGUAAAUAUAUUAAUACUAUUCUACUGUGAGCACGGCUUUUUCAUUCUCUUGAUCUCGUCUCAUUGGGAAAACAGCAGCAGGUGACACCAUGUACCAAACAGUGGUGGUG